GUCGCGGUGGCGGAACUGGCAUACGCGUACGCUUCAGGAGCGUAUGGACGCAAGUCCUUGAGGGUUCAAAUCCCUCCCGCGGCA
rnacentral:tRNA from 1 species